rnacentral:rRNA from 1 species
UACAGGGGGUGCUAGCGUUGUUCGGAAUUACUGGGCGUAAAGGGCGCGUAGGCGGCUUCGUAAGUCAGAUGUGAAAUCCCCGGGCUUAACUCGGGACGUGCAUUUGAAACUGCGAGGCUAGAGUGCAGUAGAGGAUGGUGGAAUUCCCAGUGUAGAGGUGAAAUUCGUAGAUAUUGGGAGGAACACCGGUGGCGAAGGCGGCCAUCUGGGCUGUAACUGACGCUGAGGCGCAAAAGCGUGGGGAUCAAACAGG